rnacentral:rRNA from 1 species
CCUACGUGCGGCAGCAGUGGGGAAUAUUGGACAAUGGGCGAAAGCCUGAUCCAGCCAUGCCGCGUGUGUGAAGAAGGCCUUCGGGUUGUAAAGCACUUUCAGUGGGGAAGAAAGCCUUGGGGCUAAUACCCUCGAGGAAGGACAUCACCCACAGAAGAAGCACCGGCUAACUCCGUGCCAGCAGCCGCGGUAAUACGGAGGGUGCGAGCGUUAAUCGGAAUUACUGGGCGUAAAGCGCGCGUAGGCGGUCUGAUAAGCCGGUUGUGAAAGCCCCGGGCUCAACCUGGGAACGGCAUCCGGAACUGUCAGGCUAGAGUGCAGGAGAGGAAGGUAGAAUUCCCGGUGUAGCGGUGAAAUGCGUAGAGAUCGGGAGGAAUACCAGUGGCGAAGGCGGCCUUCUGGACUGACACUGACGCUGAGGUGCGAAAGCGUGGGUAGCAAACAGGAUUAGUACCCCAGUAGUC